rnacentral:rRNA from 1 species
AACGAACGCUUGCGGCGCGCCUAAUACAUGCAAGUCGAGCGAGAAAGUACUUCGGUAUGAGUAAAGCGGCGGACGGGUGAGGAACACGUAGAUAAUCUGCCUUAGAGUGGGGGAUAACUAAUCGAAAGAUUAGCUAAUACAGCAUAAGACCACAAGGGCUUCGGCUCAAGGGGUUAAAGGAGCAAUUCGCUCUAAGAUGAGUCUGCGUCCGAUUAGCUAGUUGGUGAGGUAAUGGCUCACCAAGGCAACGAUCGGUAACUGGUCUGAGAGGAUGACCAGUCACACUGGAACUGAGACACGGUCCAGACUCCUACGGGAGGCGGCAGUAGGGAAUAUUGCACAAUGGACGAAAGUCUGAUGCAGCGACGCCGCGUGAGUGAUGAAGGCCUUCGGGUUGUAAAACUCUGUGAUAAGGGAAGAUGAUGACGGUACCUUAUCAGAAAAGACCGGCUAACUUCGUGCCAGCCGCCGCGGUAAUAC